rnacentral:tRNA from 5 species
GGAGAGGUGUGUGAGCGGUUGAAACAGCAGGUCUCGAAAACCUGUAAGGGUCAAACCUUCGAGGGUUCGAAUCCCUCCCUCUCCGCCA